GUUGUAUAGUCAAGUAAUUAAGUGCAUGUGGUGGAUGCCUUGGCAGUCAGAGGCGAUGAAAGACGUGAUAGCCUGCGAAAAGCUCCGGGGAGGCGGCAAAUAUCCUUUGAUCCGGAGAUGUCUGAAUGGGGGAACCCACCUACUUUAAGGUAGGUAUUGCAACAUGAAUACAUAGUGUUGCAAGGCGAACGAGGGGAAGUGAAACAUCUCAGUACCCUUAGGAAAAGAAAUCAAUUGAGAUUCCCUCAGUAGCGGCGAGCGAACGGGGAUCAGCCCAUUAAGUUAUGUGUGUUUUAGUGGAACGCUCUGGGAAGUGCGAACGUAGAGGGUGAUAUUCCCGUACACGAAAGGGCACACAUAAUGAUGACGAGUAGGGCGAGGCACGUGAAACCUUGUCUGAAUAUGGGGGGACCAUCCUCCAAGGCUAAAUACUCCUGACUGACCGAUAGUGAACCAGUACCGUGAGGGAAAGGCGAAAAGAACCCCUGUGAGGGGAGUGAAAUAGAUCCUGAAACCGCAUGCAUACAAGCAGUGGGAGCACCUUCGUGGUGUGACUGCGUACCUUUUGUAUAAUGGGUCAGCGACUUAUAUUCAGUAGCAAGGUUAACCGUAUAGGGGAGCCGUAGAGAAAUCGAGUCUUAAUAGGGCGUUUAGUUGCUGGGUAUAGACCCGAAACCAGGCGAUCUAUCCAUGAGCAGGUUGAAGGUUGGGUAACACUAACUGGAGGACCGAACCCACUGUCGUUGAAAAGCCAGGGGAUGACUUGUGGAUAGGGGUGAAAGGCUAAUCAAGCCUGGUGAUAGCUGGUUCUCCCCGAAAGCUAUUUAGGUAGCGCCUCGGACGAAUACCAUAGGGGGUAGAGCACUGUUUCGGCUAGGGGGUCAUCCCGACUUACCAAACCGAUGCAAACUCCGAAUACCUAUGAGUACUAUCCGGGAGACAGACUGCGGGUGCUAACGUCCGUAGUCAAGAGGAAAACAAUCCAGACCGCCAGCUAAGGCCCCAAAAUCAUAGUUAAGUGGGAAACGAUGUGGGAAGGCAUAGACAGCUAGGAGGUUGGCUUAGAAGCAGCCACCCUUUAAAGAAAGCGUAAUAGCUCACUAGUCGAGUCGGCCUGCGCGGAAGAUGUAACGGGGCUAAAACUAUGUGCCGAAGCUGCGGAUNNUGCUGGAGGUAUCAGAAGUGCGAAUGCUGACGUGAGUAACGACAAAACGGGUGAAAAACCCGUUCGCCGAAAGACCAAGGGUUCCAGUCCAACGUUAAUCGGGGCUGGGUGAGUCGACCCCUAAGGCGAGGCCGAAAGGCGUAGUCGAUGGGAAAAUGGUUAAUAUUCCAUUACUUCUGUGUAAUGCGAUGAGAGGACGGAGAAGGCUAAAUCAGCCUGGCGUUGGUUGUCCAGGUGAAAGGAUGUAGGCAUGUAUCUUAGGCAAAUCCGGGGUACUCUAUGCUGAGAUCUGAUAGCAAGCUGUACUUGUACAGCGAAGUGGUUGAUGCCAUGCUUCCAGGAAAAGUCUCUAAGCUUCAGUUACACAGGAAUCGUACCCGAAACCGACACAGGUGGUCAGGUCGAGUAGACCAAGGCGCUUGAGAGAACUCUGCUGAAGGAACUAGGCAAAAUGGUACCGUAACUUCGGGAGAAGGUACGCUGUUGUUGGUGAUGGAACUCGCUUCCUGAGCUGACGACAGCCGCAGAAACCAGGCCGCUGCAACUGUUUAUUAAAAACAUAGCACUCUGCAAACACGAAAGUGGACGUAUAGGGUGUGAUGCCUGCCCGGUGCUGGAAGGUUAAUUGAUGGGGUUAGCGUAAGCGAAGCUCUUGAUCGAAGCCCCAGUAAACGGCGGCCGUAACUAUAACGGUCCUAAGGUAGCGAAAUUCCUUGUCGGGUAAGUUCCGACCUGCACGAAUGGCAUAAUGAUGGCGGCGCUGUCUCCAGCAGAGGCUCAGUGAAAUCGAAAUCGCUGUGAAGAUGCAGUGUACCCGCGGCUAGACGGAAAGACCCCGUGAACCUUUACUGCAGCUUGACACUGAACUUUGACCUUACUUGUGUAGGAUAGGUGGGAGGCUUUGAAGCUGGAACGCUAGUUCCAGUGGAGCCGUCCUUGAAAUACCACCCUGGUAAUGUUGAGGUUCUAACUCUGUCCCGUGAUCCGGGACGAGGACCGUGUCUGGUGGGUAGUUUGACUGGGGCGGUCUCCUCCUAAAGAGUAACGGAGGAGUACGAAGGUGCGCUCAGCGUGGUCGGAAAUCACGCGUAGAGUAUAAAGGCAAAAGCGCGCUUAACUGCGAGACCCACAAGUCGAGCAGGUACGAAAGUAGGUCUUAGUGAUCCGGUGGUUCUGUAUGGAAGGGCCAUCGCUCAACGGAUAAAAGGUACUCUGGGGAUAACAGGCUGAUACCGCCCAAGAGUUCAUAUCGACGGCGGUGUUUGGCACCUCGAUGUCGGCUCAUCUCAUCCUGGGGCUGAAGCAGGUCCCAAGGGUAUGGCUGUUCGCCAUUUAAAGAGGUACGCGAGCUGGGUUUAGAACGUCGUGAGACAGUUCGGUCCCUAUCUACCGUGGGCGCUGGAAAUUUGAGAGGAUCUGCUCCUAGUACGAGAGGACCAGAGUGGACGAACCUCUGGUGUACCGGUUGUGACGCCAGUCGCAUCGCCGGGUAGCUAUGUUCGGAAGGGAUAACCGCUGAAAGCAUCUAAGCGGGAAGCCUACCUCAAGAUAAGAUUUCCCUAGGACUUUAUGUCCUCUAAAGAGCCGUUCGAGACUAGGACGUUGAUAGGUUGGAUGUGGAAGCAUAGUGAUAUGUGAAGCUGACCAAUACUAAUUGCUCGUGAGGCUUGACUAUACAACACCCAAGCAGUUG
rnacentral:rRNA from 1 species